rnacentral:rRNA from 1 species
UACGUAGGGUGCGAGCGUUGUCCGGAAUUAUUGGGCGUAAAGAGCUUGUAGGCGGUUUGUCGCGUCUGCUGUGAAAAUCCGAGGCUCAACCUCGGACUUGCAGUGGGUACGGGCAGACUAGAGUGUGGUAGGGGAGACUGGAAUUCCUGGUGUAGCGGUGGAAUGCGCAGAUAUCAGGAGGAACACCAAUGGCGAAGGCAGAUCUCUGGGCCGUAACUGACGCUGAGGAGCGACAGCGUGGGGGAGCAAACAGG